CCCUGUUCUAGAACCCCUCAACUGCUGUUUCCCCUAGCAACUCCUGCGGUUAUCCCUGGAAUGUCUGGGCAGGGGCUGUAAAAUUGGAAUAGGUCCCCCCCCACUCCUUAAUGUGGUGGCAGAGACCCCUGAGGGGAAAUGCAGAGGGCCUUGGUUCUCGGCUGGGCUGUGGAGCUGGGCACUCAGGGAGUUUCACAUAGCCACGAAGCUGCUUUCUCAGGCUCCUCUGGCAGGGAGCGUCAGGAUGAGAAUCCAGACCUGACUGCCACCCAGCCCUCUCACUUCGCAGAUGCAAAAAUCCAGACUCAGAAAGGGAGGUAACUUCUCCAACAGGGCGGGGUCUGAAGCCCAGGGUCCCGACCCCACCAAGCUGGCCCUGCAGGAGCCUCCUGAGAGGUGUCUCGGGAGCAGACCCAGGGGAAGGGGGCACUGUGCACUCUUGCCGGGUAGGCAAAAGUCUGUCUGCUUCUUGGCAGCUGUGUGGCUUCAAAGCCCAGACAGCAGGGACUGAAGACUGAGCAAGCCACCCCUCUCCUGUCCCAGACCCACCUGAACCCACCAAAGCUGGGAAAGGAGGGGUAGUGGAGACUCCAGAAAAACAGGAAAAAUUUAAACUCAACCACUAAGUAAAGCAUCAUUAACUCCUGUUGUGCUGAGCCCACAAACAGAAUGGAGUCUCUACGAGGGCAGGGAUGUUGGUUGGCUGUAUCCUCGGGCUGGAAGAGCACUGGCACGCAGCAGGCACUGAAUAGAAUUUCUAAAUAUACAAACGGAUGAACCAAUGGAUGGAUGGAUGAAUGAAGACCCUGUAUAGGUCAAUGCCUCAAAUGUCUGUGCCUGGCCUGGAGUUAUGUCCCUCACCCCCACUGUAGACUAACUCCUGGUCCCACCCUACGGCUUUGGAACUGAAGCCACAGGCCUACCAUCCCUGAGAGGUAGCGGUGCUCAGCGUGGCAGGACGCCCCACUUGAUGGUAGGCUUCUCCCAGAUGGCUAACUGCUUCGAGUCUUUCCCCCAGAUGUAACAUGUCUAUGGGAGGAUUAUGACAUGGGUAGAUGAGAGUCCCCAGCCAUGGAGGUGACAAUGUGCCCUGGAGCCUCACAAGGCAGCAGCCACCAGGAAGAGGCAUGGAGGCCAGGAAGGUCCUGGAACACCAGAAUUUGGCCAACAGAGCCUGAAGCCAGCACAUCGUGGAGGGGCAGCAGCCUGGGGGCAUUCGGGAGACCUGGAGAUGUGGCAGCUGGCCAGGAGCUGGGGUACAACCUUGACAAUCACUAACCUCUCACUUCCUCGUCCUGCCAGGCUAUUUAUAGCCUCCCUCUCUCUGAAAACUCCUUCACCCAUUUUUCUGAGCUUAACAAGCUUGGUGAAUUGAAAUCAGGUGGACCACCUCCCCAACCUCAGCAAGCCUGCUGGGGUGACUGCACUCAGGCCAGGCCUGCUGGCAGCUCCUGCUCCAUGACAGGGACCCUUGAGGGCCUGCUGAGAGUCACAGGGUUGGGGUGACCCCGGGAAGGUGGCAUCUAAAGAGAGGGCAGCAGCUGGGCACCCAGGCAGACCUCAGCCAGAGAUGCUGGACGAUGGUGACCCCAGAAGGGCUCAGCUCACCCCAGGCCUCCUCCCUGCUUCAGGAAAAACAAACAGAUUGGGACAGUGGAAAAACAGCUGUACCUUUAAAUUAUCUGGCCCACAGAUAUGAAAAACAUUUGCAUGCUGAAGCUGUUUGCAUCUUCGGUUAUUUUUAGGGUGAACCCAGUUGCCUCCCCUUGGAACCAGAUGAAGCCCCAGAGGCACGUAGUCCUUUUUCCCAGACGGGGGUCCUGGUCCUGUUUCCCUGGGAAUAAGGCUUGAGCAUGAGCUCUCUGGGACCCAGCCCCCGACCAGAACCACACCGUGCAUUCAGGCUUGGGAGGAACUGGAGCACCAGGGAGCCAAGGCUGCAACUUUGAACAUUUGCCACUGCUGACAUCGUGGCCACCCACCUGGGGCCAGAAAGAGCCCCUCCGCUGCCCCCAGAGCAUGGGUGAAGAGACGAACGCUUAGCCUACUACCUCCUCUCAUGCCAGGCCCAGCUGAUGGGAAUAUUUUGCUGAGAUAUUUCUAGCACCAGCAGCAAUUAAAGCAGAUUUUCUCUUCCACUCCCCUUCCCCAAAACAAGAAUAAAUCAGUUCUACCAAUUUCCCAGCUAAUGAUUUCCUCCAUUAAAUUAAAAAGAAGAAGAAAAUGUUUUCUUAAAUGGAUUACCAGCCCUGUGCUUUCAGAGACCAUGUGACCUGUCAACUCCUUUUAAAGUCUGAUACAUCAAAGUCCCUGAAUUAAUUUUUAAUAAAUAAAAAAGUCAUAAUCUAAGAAGCACCAUCCCACACACCCCCCUCCCCCAUCAAGGGUCAGCUCUGAGCUGACUCUGGGAAGCCAGCUUAAUCGGGCCAAGUAUGGCUCUUAAUAGAGAACCAGAUCCAUUCCACAGAUGGGAGAGACAAGGCUGAGAGAUGUCAGGUGCCCAAGCACAGAAAUCAGGCCCUGAGAUGAACCUAGAGUUGUGGCAUGCACCGUAGAGUGCUACAUGUGGAACUGAGUCCUUGAUUUCGAGGGGCACCUGUCUGGAGAGAUGCAAACAGGUAGAUCCAGGAGCUGAGGAGUAACUAAGUAGGUGUGAGCUAGCGCCAUCUGCGUGACCCAGAUGGGGGCUCCUGGGCAGGACCUGGGCUUCUCUUCCUCUUUUGCUCCCUGGCAGCACCUGGUAUAGGGUCAGCACACAGUGCUGACAUCCCCUUUGCUUCAAAAAGCCCACCCCCUACAACACAGACAAACCUCAAAAACAUGAUGCUGAGCAAAAGAAGCCAGACACAAAAGGCCACAUAUUGCAAGACUCUGUUCCUAUGAAACAUCUAGAAGACGCAAAUCCAUAGAGACAAAGAGUACGGCAGAGGCUACUGGGGGUGAGGAAAAGGGUUGGGAGUUGUUAGUUAAUGGGUGCAGUUUCUGUUUGGGAUGAUAAAAAAAAUUCUGGAAAUGGAUAGGGGUGAUGGUUACACACAUUCUAAAUGUACUUAUGCCAAUGAACUAUACGCAUAAAAGUGGUUAACACAGAAAAUUUUAUGUUAUGUAUAUUUUACCACAAUAAAAAAAAAUACAAGGAGAAAAAAGCCCACUCUCCAAAAUGCAACUUGAAGAUACAGGAUGGCCAAUAACUCCACAGGGACAAUGGUGGGACCCUCUGCAAACUGCCCCCAGACAGACUCAAUGCUUAAAGCACAGCGCAGAGGCUCACAGGGCCUGUCUUGUCAUGUAUGAACACCAGGGACCUUCAGAGAAGGGCUCUUUGUGUGAGCCAGCAUGACUAAGCCAGGAUGCCCUGUCUCCCUGGCGGCCAGCCAGAUGCCACAGGGCAGGCAGGGGCUGAGAAGUCUCUGUGGACACCUCCCUGGAAGGCACCUCCUGGUCUCGGCAUUCACUGCACCCUUUUCCUGAAAUGCACUUCCCGAUAUUCCGUAACCUGCUUCCUACGUUUAUUUAGGUUUUCACAGGGAGGUCCUCUCUGACCAUCUACAGUUAGAAAAAUACCGGGAAGGUUGCUGGAGCCAGGCAAGGUAGCCGUGAGCAAGAACAGGAAAGCCAGGGCCCCAACACUAUGACAUGCCAGCACCUUCCUGCUCCCUGGCUACAGAAAAGCAGCUUGCAGGGGGCAUCAGGUCCUGGCUCCAUCAUUUACCAGCUUGGGGGCCUUGGCUAGUUCCUUCAACCCUCUAAACCUCGGUUUUCUCUUCUACAAAAUGGGGGUGAAGACAGUGUUUGUCUCUUGGGCUUUUCUGAGGACUACAAUGAGAUGAUGUAUAGUAAGUGUUUAGCAUAUGGCUGGGACAUGGUCAAAGGUCGGUAAAUGGUAAUGAUACAUGGAUUAUAAUGGAAGUACAACAUUAAUCCCUUAAUGCUGGCCAGGAGGUGUGGGUCAGCGAUCCUGAAGACAGGGGAAGGGGCCAGUCGGGCCAGACCACAACCACAACUACUCUUCUCAGCAUGUGAAUUAACUGAUUGAAUCUUUUUGUCCCCAUGUUGCAUAUGAGGAAACUGAAGCACAGAGAGGUUAGUGACUUGCCCCAGGACAUACAGCCAAGAGGUA
rnacentral:lncRNA from 10 species